CGGAAGGAGGGCCUCUUCCCGGCGCGCGAGGCCGCGGGAGCGGCGCGGGGCCUGGGCCCGAGGCUGGGCCCUGCCGGGUCCCUCCUCCCCUCGCUCUGGUCUCGGCAGCAGCAAACCCAGUACUUUCUGGCUGCUUACGUGGUAAUCAGAAUCAUGCAAAACUUAGUACCCAGCCGUUUAGAAGAGAGUAAGUUUCGAUAUUUGGCCCUAGGACAGGAGAGAGCGGGGGAGGAGGAACAGUGGCUCCUUCAAGCCUGUCACAGGAAGAAAAAAAAUAUUUCCUGGUGGAAAUGCGGUAAUCAAUGUGUGCGUGAGCCGGUGAGCGAGGCGAAUCAAGCAGGCGCCUGAAAAGGUUCUCGGUAUUGGCAGAAGGAUCAGUGUCUCCAGCAAGCGUCCUGCCCCCCGCGCCUGCCGGGCAGGCCUUCCCUGUAAGCCGGCCUCGCUUGGGCUCAUCGGGUUACAACGUGUAUCUGAUUUGAAAGGAAAAUAGCAUGAAGUACGUGAAGCAUAAAAACAUUACAGCACCCGGUUGACUGAAAGCUAAAGUCUGACCCUCAUGUUCGAACGCUGCAGGCGGAGUGUGUGGUGGCGAGAAGGAGAUGACAGAGCCAGGAGCUUCUGAAACACAGAACUUCAGAGAGUUUCAGCUUACGGAAGAAAUUAAUAUACAUCAGGUGUUCCUGCCAAGGAGCCUAUUGGGUGGGUUUUGGAGGACAGUACUUUGACACCUCAGGGUCCUGUCUGGAGUCUGCCAGUCAUGCAGGCGCCUCGCUUGUCGGUUCUUCUCCCCUCACCCCUCAAGAGCAGUUGCUGUAUUCACAGCUGUCCACUUUUCGCCAAUGGUUUGUUAAAAGACAGGCUCUCAUGCUGCAGCAUACUGUCAGUAGCAGCCCCUGAAGAUGUCUCUACCCGGAUUCCACAGACAUCCACAGUUGCCAGCUGUCUAGGACAGAUAAGGCUAAAAAGAGAUUUAACUAAUACUGUCAUUCAACGAUCUCGGGAGGAGAGAGGAAAUUGCAUCUUGCUGAGGACAAGAAAGAAGUGGCCCUGAAGUUCUUUUGAGAGGCACAGUCAAGAACACAUCUUCAGUGAAGCAUAAUGAAUAAAGAGCACUUUGCACAAUUACGGUUGCCCCUGCCUCAUGCUGGGGACAUUGUGAUCACUGCAGUGGCAUCCUUUUGUUCAGAAGGGGCUCCUUCCACCACUGUGCACAGCCCCAGUCACCUUCUGAUGCCUUGAUUUCAGCAGGGUGGAUUUCCUGCACUGCAGUGCCCACGCAGAUGAGUAGCAUGUGGAGUUAUUUCACCUCAAGCUGUGUCGUGGAAAAAGCCUCCUCUUGUGUGUGUGCCUGUGUCUCCUGGGUUUGGUGCUGUGUUGUAGGUUUAUCCUGGAAACUUACCGUAGCUCCCACUCCUGUAACCGCUUAAACAAGGAGCCCUUAUGCCAGUGCACACACACUUCUAGCACGUGUUUUCUUGUCCAUCUGUGUGAGGCUGAUCGGAGCCCCGGCUGCUUUUCAAGCUGAGCUCUGACCUGCCCACUUCACAGUGUGGGCGUAGGGUGUCGGGGGAAGGGAGCUCAGCUGUGGUGAUGUCCCAGCAUGGUCGUACCAGUUAUUUGGCACGGGUUUUCCUCAAGCAGUUCUCUUCUUUCUAAGUGAACAUUUUAUCCAGGAGGAUUUUGAGGACUUCAGGUGUUCGGGAUUUCGGGAUAUGUCACAGCCCACAUGCAAGUGUGGAGCAUCAGAAGGACCUGGGCUCUGGGUGAACCAUAACUAUAGUGUAUAUAAAGUAGAGUGGACACCAUCAUGGAUGUAUCACAUUACCCCAUCCUAUACGUGUUAUCCAUUACAUACACGUCUGUUUCUUUCUGAGAUGCUCCAGGAAGAGGUGGAAGUCCUCAGCUCUUACAGCGUGCCUGUGAGAGCCAAACCCUUCAGGGGGUCCUGGUUUAACUUCUUCGGGAAAGAGCACGGGUGCCUCCAGUCUGUGUUUGUGCGGUUGUGUAGCUGCAGACACCAGGAUUGCCUGGGCAAUCUCUACCCAGACAGACAUUGUCCCAAGUGAAAAGCUUCCACAGCAAAGCGUCCCAUAUUUCUGUAGCUGCUUCAGCACCUUUCAGGACACCAGGAGAAGCUUUCAUGGAAGCAUCAGACCUCACACAACCAAUGGCACAUCCAGAACUCCCCGAGCAUGUUGUGUCCAGCUCUCUUGCCCUGGUGUGAAACAACUGCUCAAGCUCCUCCUCAGUCCUCCAAAAAUUUUGCGACAGCACAGUACCCAGUCUCACAGGACAGGUGUUCUGGGAAUGACUGUAAGCAAAAAGGCUGGGAAACAAAGAAUGAGGCUUUUGGAAUCUUCUCCAGAGAAUGUGAAGAAAACCUUUAUCUUCAACAACUCACAUUCUUGCUUUUUUCCUCAUUCUUUGUUUGACAAAUUGUUUUCUAUUUACAGCCAGAACGUUUUAAUGCCUUCUCCCUCCCCACAGCCUUCUGGGUUCCUAUUUUCUCCUUCUGACAAUGUUACCAUAUGGUUCUAUUAUUCAGAGAUUCCUAAACAUGUAUUGCAACAGUCCUGAAAAAUAAUUAGGUGUUGCUGUGGUGUAAAGGCACAUCUGUGAUCAAUGGCUCCCUCUGGAAAUUAUGGGAUAAAAUCUCCCAAGACGUUUUUCUAUCUUUCUACUUUCUCCACAUCCUUUUCUGUCACUCCCUGCCUCCCAAAAAGGAUUAUAAUAAA